UACGUAGGGGGCAAGCGUUGUCCGGAAUCAUUGGGCGUAAAGCGCGUGUAGGCGGCCUUGUAAGUCCGUUCUGAAAGCCCGGGGCUCAACCCCGGGAGGCGGAUGGAUACUGCAAGGCUCGAGUACGGAAGAGGCGAGUGGAAUUCCCGGUGUAGCGGUGAAAUGCGCAGAUAUCGGGAGGAACACCAAUGGCGAAGGCAGCUCGCUGGGACGUUACUGACGCUGAGACGCGAAAGCGUGGGGAGCAAACGGG
rnacentral:rRNA from 1 species